rnacentral:rRNA from 1 species
CUCUUAUAGAACUAAUUAUAAGUAAAAUCUGCUCAAUGAUUUUAAAUAGCCGCAGUUAUCUGUGCUAAGGUAGCAUAAUCAUUUGCCUUUUAAUUAAAGGCUAGUAUGAAAGAUUAAACGAUUUAUAAAAUGUCUCAAAUUAACUUUUCAAAAUUAUUCUAAAUGUUAAAAAACAUUUAUAAAUAAAAAAGACGACAAGACCCUAUCAAACUUUACUUAUGUUUAGCUGGGGCAGCUAUUUAACUAAAUUUUAUAUUACUUUAACAAAAAUCAAUUUCAAAUUAAUUAUAAUAAGUUACUGUAGGGAUAACAGCGCAAUUAUAUUUUUAAGAUCUUAUUUAAAAUAUAGAUUACGACCUCGAUGUUGAAUAAUUUAUCUAUUAAACGCAAUAGUUUAAAAAGAUGGUCUGUUCGACCAUUAAAUUUUUACA